rnacentral:rRNA from 1 species
GACGAACGCCGGCGGCGUGCUUAACACAUGCAAGUCGAACGGAAAGGCCCUGCUUUUGCGGGGUGCUCGAGUGGCGAACGGGUGAGUAACACGUGAGUAACCUGCCCUUGACUUUGGGAUAACUUCAGGAAACUGGGGCUAAUACCGGAUAGGAGCUCCUGCUGCAUGGUGGGGGUUGGAAAGUUUCGGCGGUUGGGGAUGGACUCGCGGCUUAUCAGCUUGUUGGUGGGGUAGUGGCUUACCAAGGCUUUGACGGGUAGCCGGCCUGAGAGGGUGACCGGCCACAUUGGGACUGAGAUACGGCCCAGACUCCUACGGGAGGCAGCAGUGGGGAAUAUUGCACAAUGGGCGGAAGCCUGAUGCAGCAACGCCGCGUGCGGGAUGACGGCCUUCGGGUUGUAAACCGCUUUCGCCUGUGACGAAGCGUGAGUGACGGUAAUGGGUAAAGAAGCACCGGCUAACUACGUGCCAGCAGCCGCGGUGAUACGUAGGGUGCGAGCGUUGUCCGGAUUUAUUGGGCGUAAGGGCUCGUAGGUGGUUGAUCGCGUCGGAAGUGUAAUCUUGGGGCUUAACCCUGAGCGUGCUUUCGAUACGGGUUGACUUGAGGAAGGUAGGGGAGGAUGGAAUUCCUGGUGGAGCGGUGGAAUGCGCAGAUAUCAGGAGGAACACCAGUGGCGAAGGCGGUUCUCUGGGCCUUUCCUGACGCUGAGGAGCGAAAGCGUGGGGAGCGAACAGGCUUAGAUACCCUGGUAGUCCACGCUGUAAACGGUGGGUACUAGGUGUGGGGUCCAUUCCACGGGUUCCGUGCCGUAGCUAACGCUUUAAGUACCCCGCCUGGGGAGUACGGCCGCAAGGCUAAAACUCAAAGGAAUUGACGGGGCCCCGCACAAGCGGCGGAGCAUGCGGAUUAAUUCGAUGCAACGCGUAGAACCUUACCUGGGUUUGACAUGGAUCGGGAGUGCUCAGAGAUGGGUGUGCCUCUUUUGGGGUCGGUUCACAGGUGGUGCAUGGCUGUCGUCAGCUCGUGUCGUGAGAUGUUGGGUUAAGUCCCGCAACGAGCGCAACCCUUGUUCACUGUUGCCAGCACGUUAUGGUGGGGACUCAGUGGAGACCGCCGGGGUCAACUCGGAGGAAGGUGGGGAUGACGUCAAGUCAUCAUGCCCCUUAUGUCCAGGGCUUCACGCAUGCUACAAUGGCUGGUACAGAGAGUGGCGAGCCUGUGAGGGUGAGCGAAUCUCGGAAAGCCGGUCUCAGUUCGGAUUGGGGUCUGCAACUCGACCUCAUGAAGUCGGAGUCGCUAGUAAUCGCAGAUCAGCAACGCUGCGGUGAAUACGUUCCCGGG